rnacentral:lncRNA from 1 species
AUGGAGAGGCCCUCAGCAGUCUGUCCUCCUUGUUCAAAUGCCAGCCAGACUGAAAAGAGAAAGAGGCUUCCCUUUGGCUUUUGAAUGCAGCCAGUCAGAAAGGCUCCUCUUCUUCAUGUGAGCCUCCACACCUUAUGGAGACCCAAUGAAGAGACUGGAUAUGCUAUACUGCCAACCAUAGAAGAGUAGGAUGCACCCCAGCCUAACAUCUCCUGCAAAGCUGAGCCUACUCAUUAAUAGACUUUUAACACAAUAGAAGCAUUUUACUCAUUAAUCUUCCAAAAGAACCUCU